CCUUAAACUCUGCAUAGGAGGCACAUUCUUUUCCACAGUGACAAGUGUGCACAUCAGGAUGCUCAGGAACACCUUUAAGAGAGCAACAUCACCGAACAAAACCAAAUUGAUGCUUUUGUACUGUGGUGCUGGAGAAAACUGUUGAGAACAUUGGAAGGAUAAGAACCAACCAGAUGAAGUAAAGCCGUACUGCAGACUGAGUAACACUGAAACAAAAAUAAUCUGGACACGUAAUGUGGCAGCAAGAGUCUUUGGAGAAGUCUGAAAAAGAAGCCGAAAGAAGACAAAGUGGCUAGACACUCCCUGGUUACACAAGCACAAGGUUGUAAGAAUUCAAAGCAGUUACUGGAAGAGAAUUCUGACAUUAGAUCCUUCGCGCUGCAAAGAAUCAAAAAGGCAAAGAAUCAAAAAGAACUACGAGGUUCACUCUUCUUCUACUUAUCAGAAAAAAAUUAUUUUCAAUUGAAGGGACUGACUGUUAAAACUAUUUUAUUGUCCAGGUAGAAGAAAGCAAUUAUCAACUUUGAUGGGAGCUGAAAUGAUAGGGUUUUUUUUUUAUUUCUUCCUAGAGACCAUUCUUGUUUUACCUUCAUUAUGAACUUGUAGAUUUUAGUAUUUGAUCAGCUACCAGACAUGCAUUUUUUUCUUUUUUUGUCACUUUUUUCUAUUUUGAUAAAGGUCUGAUGUUCUGUUCUAAAACUGCUAAAGUACUCUAGUGGUUAUUUAGUCUUAUUGUGUGCACAUAUAUUAUAUGUGAAUAUUAAAACUUGUUCCAGAGACUAUUACUAAAACAAACAAUGCUUUAGUUUUGGUAGGCCACACUCUCUUCCUCUGAAGAUGCUAAUCAGCAUUCAUGCUGCAUUACCUGUUUUUAUAAUUUCAACGAAAGAUGAACAAAAUGUCUUCCACAUGAAGUAUCAAAUAUUCACAAAAAUAAAAAGAAUCUACUCAGUUCUUCUGCUCUUUGAAUUAAAUAUUUAAGUUUCUGAAUUUUAAAUCUUAAACUAAGACCCAAGAGCCAUGUGUAGCUUCAAAAUACCAACAUCAUUGCUGACAAUUGUAAUUUUAAUAUGGCUGAGUGGAAAAUAUUUUACAUGAAUGUGGAAAAAUGACAUCAACUAUAUAUAAAUUAUUUUACAUUUUUGUCUAACUCCACCCACUUUUUAGAGUGCAGGCCAAAGCAUACCAUUGACCGCACAUCCCUGUACCAGAUGAAGCCAUUCUGUCUCACAGUAUAGAUGAUCUACCAUCUCUUUACAAAGGGCACCUAAAGCAUUUUUCAAAAUAUAACGAGGUAUAGUUAAGAAAGACAAUAUUUAAAAGAUCACCUUAGACAAAUUUUUAAACAGAUCUGUAAAUUCAAGUUUAGCUUUAAACAGAUCUCAAAUGCUUUUCAAAUCUCAAGUCGUCCAAUACUUCAAGGGCUGUCACAAGGAAAAGAAUGUGCAUUUAUUCCUGUGGCUCCCAAGGAUAGGGUGAAAAACAAGGGGUUGAAGCUUUGCCCAGAUACCAACUCAAAGGAAGAAUGAAGAUCCUGACUCAAGCAGUUAUUAAACACUUCCUCCUGGAGUUUUUGAGGCUCCGUCAUAGGAGGUUUUCAAGCAAAGGUUGGACAAUCAUUUGUUUGGGAUGGAUGAAAAUUCUUCUUCUGAGCAGAGCAUUGGCCUAAAAGACCUCCAAGAUGUCUUCCAACUCUACAGGUCUAUGAGCCAGGCAUCUUAGCUGCAAAAAAAUCUACUGACAUGGCUCCAGUUAAGACUAAAUCAAGAAAAUAUCAUGAAGAUAUUAAGAUACCUGAAGACUACCCAGAUAGAUACGUUUUUCUAAUUAUAAUACAUUCAAUCUACCUAAUGAUCUAACAAAAUAAUAAUGCAAAUACAUGCUGAAUCAGUCCCACAAAACAUCUGAUUGUUAAUCCAAUCCUGCAAUAGUAGAUUUUGUUGAAAUAUAAAAUGAAACUAUCCCAGAGAACUAGUUUAGUGUAGUAGUUAAAUGCAUCAGGCUAGGAAGACCAUGAGUUCUAUUUCCACCUUAGGCUUGAAGCCAGCUUGGUCAGUUACUUCCUCUCAGCCCUAAAAAGCAGGUUGUGGCAAACCACUUCUGAAAAUCUUGCCAAGAAAACAGCAGGGACUUGUCCAGGCAGUCACUAGGAAUCAAUGCUGACUUGAAUGCAAUUAAAACCAAAAAACCUCAACCCUA